rnacentral:lncRNA from 10 species
ACCUGGCCCUGGGGCGGAGCCUGCGGUCGGGUCUCGGCGACCCGCCGGGACUUUCUAAUCAGAGUCGUGGGGAUUUUACGGGUGGAGUUACUCCGAAACCUUUAAGGCCGAGUGUGAUAGGUAGUUCAAAGCUUCCUGUUUCUUCAGUCUGACAGCUUCAAAUGUCCCGGGUUGUGCUCAAAGCCUCCCUCUUGUGAGAAGAAUCUCUUUGGUUGCCUGUUAAAGCGGUCAGCCAGCUUGCAACACGGAAGCAGCUUUUAGAGGAAUUAAAACCAAAACAAGGAGCAAAUUCUGGAUUAAAAAGAUAUUUGCAACCAUUCUUCCAAUCAAUUUUAGAAAAUUUCCACCACCUCAAAAAGAAAUCCUGAUGAAGAAACAUCCUGAGAAGGUUGACAUGCUGAAUGCCUUAAAGAACUUCAAUUGGGAUGCCAGAUGAAAGUGUAACUAGAAUUUCUAUGGCUUAAAUAACGAGAGCUGGAGUGCAGUAGCAUGAUCAUGGCUCACUGCUGCCUCGACCUCCCGGGCUCAGAGAUUCUCUUGCCUCAGCCUCCUGAGUAGCUGGGACCACAGAGUUUCACUCUUGUUGCCCAGGCUGGAGUACAAUGGCAUGAUCUCGGCUCACUGAAACCUCUGCCUCCUGGGUUCAUUCAAGCGAUUCUCCUGCCUCAGCCUCCUGAGUAGCUGGGAUUACAGGCAUGCACCACCACGCCCGGCUAAUUUUGUAUUUUUAGUGGAGAUGGGGUUUCUCUAUGUUGGUGAGGCUAGUCUCGAACUCCUGACCUCAGGUGAUCCACCUGCCUUGGCCUCCCAAAGUGCUGGGAUUACAGGCAUGGGCUACUGCGCCUGGCCUGUAUCUCCAAUUCUUUACAUAUGCCUGACGAACUGCUAUUCCAUCUUGUAGGGCUAAAAUCAAAUUUUUUUUCAUUUUUGGGAAGCCUCCUCUACAUACCUCCACCUUCUAACUCCAAGAAGUCAAAAUGAAGUCUCACCAUAUUGAUCAGACUGGUCUUGAAGUCCUGGCUUCAAAUGAUCUUCCCUCCUCAGCCUCCCAAACUGCUGGGAUUAUAGAUCUUGCAGACAACAGAUCAUGGAACUUCUUGGCCUCCAUAAUCUCAUGAGCCAAUUUCUAUAUUCCAUAGGGGAAAGAAGGAGAGCUGAGAAUGCACAGAAAUUUUCAUGUGCCAAGUUUGGAAGUGCAAAAAGACCUUUAGGUGCGGGCCCUCUGUCUUGGACUUCUCAACCUCCAGAACAAUGGUGUCAGAAGCAGGAUCCCAAGCAGAGCUUCUAGUGACCUCCAGGAGCGCUGAGUGAACACUCGAGGUACCAGCACUCGAGGACCCACUUGUGUCCAUGGAUCUCUCAGAGCGGCUCCGGAUGGUAAAAAGCAAUUUGAAGGGGUGUUCUAUACUUUGGCAGAGGAAACCCAUUCCCUCUCAAGGAGAAGCAGUGGACACAGUCUCCGAAGUUGAGAGCCAUUUGAGAAUCAGUUGAGAAGUUUGAGAACCAGGUAUGUGGGGCUUUGGUAUCAGGAUGAUGCUGGCCUCAUAAAAUGAGUUCAGGAGGAUUCCCUCUUUUUCUAUUGAUUGGAAUAGUUUCAGAAGGAAUGGUACCAGCUCCUCCUUGUACCUCUGGUAGAAUUUGGCUGUGAAUCCAUCUGGUCCUGGACUUUUUUUGGUUGGGGGUCCUGAAACCAAUCCUUCGUGGAUACCCAGGGACAAUUCUAUCUGGCUGGAUUCUGGGAAGUGAACUUAUGGAAUCAAAGGUUAUGCAAACAUUUUUGAGACUUAGACUGGCUCUCCUUGCUCCUCAAGCUUGUAGACAGCCUAUUGUGGGACCUUGUGAUCAUACUUGAAACACUUGUACAUCAGCUCAGAGUGUGCAUUGUCCACUGCAAAUACUAGUGCAAAUUAAGAAGAAGAGAAAAAAGAAGGUCCACGAGCUACCAAUGACAUCUAGGACUGCUUCUGUCUCAUAGCACAUACUCCUCCCACAAGGACUACAAAUGACAAGAGAAAAUUUGUAUAAUUGGAAUUCUGGACAUUUCUCAAAUGCUCAUUGACUCAAAUACUUUCUGCUGUAUUUGGAAUUUUCAAACCAAAACAUGAUAGCAACCAGACCAGAAAAAUGUAAUUGACCAGAAAUGUCCUACAAUAUUUACAAUAUACUCAUUUUUCUGCAUGUUCAAUUUUAAAAGUUGGGUAUUCUGUACUGGAAUCUAAUGGGAUUUGACUAAUAAUCCUCACAAAAAUGAUGCCAGGAUGUUCUUCAGCUUUUGAUAGACUUUAAAAUACACAGGCAGCAUAAUCUUGAGCAAGAAAAGAGCUGACUUUCUGUACAGGAGAAAUAAAGAAUAGUGUAGCACUUGACAACC